UGGAAUCUCUGACAGAAUCUGGGAUCCUCUGGAGCCUCCUGCUGGAACUGGACAGCCAGUCUCUGCUGUGGUACUUGAAGAGGCUCGCUGAUGCACCUGUUGGUCCCGAACACCUCUGCUGGCCUGGAUCUGAGAAAAUCCCAGCCGUGCUAAGCCCCACUUACAAGCAGAGAAAUGAAGACUUCAGAAAGCUCUUCAAGCAACUCCCAGACACGGAGCGCCUCAUUGUUGAUUACUCUUGUGCACUCCAAAGAGACAUUCUUCUUCAGGGCCGACUCUACCUCUCAGAGAAUUGGAUCUGCUUCUACAGCAACAUCUUCCGCUGGGAAACUCUGCUGACAGUCCGUUUGAAAGAUAUCUGCUCCAUGACUAAAGAGAAAACAGCUCGCCUCAUUCCCA
rnacentral:lncRNA from 1 species